rnacentral:snRNA from 1 species
GUGCUUCAGCAGCACAUAUACUAAAACUGAAAUGAUAGAGAUUAGCAUGGCCCCCGCACAAUGAUGACACGCAAAUCCGUGAAGUGUUCCAUUUAAAU